rnacentral:misc_RNA from 1 species
UACGUAGGGGGCAAGCGUUAUCCGGAAUCAUUGGGCGUAAAGAGCUCGUAGGCGGUUCAGCAAGACGGCUGUGAAAGUCUAAGGCUCAACCUUGGAAAUGCAGUCGAUACUGCUGUGACUAGAGUCUGGUAGAGGAGAAUGGAAUUCCCGAUGUAGCGGUGGAAUGCGCAGAUAUCGGGAGGAACACCAGUAGCGAAGGCGGUUCUCUGGGCCUCGACUGACGCUGAGGAACGAAAGCUAGGGGAGCAAACAGG